rnacentral:rRNA from 1 species
UGAGGAAUUUUCUGCAAUGGGCGAAACGCCUGACAGAGCAAUAUCGCGUGAAGGACGAAGGCCUACGGGUUGUAAACUUCUUUUCUCAAGGAGGAAUUUUUGACGUUACUUGAGGAAUAAGCAUCGGCUAACCCUGUGCCAGCAGCCGCGGUAAUACAGGGGAUGCAAGUGUUAUCCGGAAUUAUUGGGCGUAAAGCGUCUGUAGGUUGAUAUUUAAGUCUUUUGUUAAAUUUCCAGGCUUAACCUGGAAUCUGCAAAGGAAACUAUUUGUCUAGAGUGUGGUAGAGGUAAAGGGAAUUUCCAGUGGAGCGGUGAAAUGCGUAGAUAUUGGAAAGAACACCAAUGGCGAAAGCACUUUACUGGGCCAUUACUGACACUGAGAGAC